AUUGAACGCCGGCGGCAGGCCUAACACAUGCAAGUCGAACGAGUGGCGGACGGGUGAGUAAUGUCUGGGAAACUGCCCGAUGGAGGGGGAUAACUCCUGGAAACGGUAGCUAAUACCGCAUACCAUCGGAUCUGCCCAGAUGGGAUUAGCUAGUGGGUGGGGUAACGGCUCACCUAGGCAACGAUCCCUAGCUGGGCUGUGAGGAUGACCAGCCACACUGGAACUGAGACACGGUCCAGACUCCUACGGGAGGCAGCAGUGGGGAAUAUUGCAAAAUGGGCGAAAGCCUGAUGCAGCCAUGCCGCGUGUAUGAAGAAGGCCUUCGGGUUGUAAAGUACUUUCAGCGGGGAGGCGUUACUCGCAGAAGAAGCACCGGCUAACUCCGUGCCAGCAGCCGCGGUAAUAC
rnacentral:rRNA from 1 species